UAGUACGUGUUAUGGUAACAUAGUAUGAGACUUCUUAGAGGGACAUUUCGGGUUGACCGAAAGGAAGUUUGUGGCAAUAACAGGUCUGUGAUGCCCUUAGAUGUUCUGGGCCGCACGCGCGCUACACUGACGACUUCAACAAGUUUUUUGGCCUUGCCAAAUUUCCUUGGUCGGAAGGCCUGGGUAAUCUUGUAAAUGUCCAUCGUGAUGGGGCUAGAUUUUUGCAAUUCUGAAUCUCCAACGAGGAACC
rnacentral:rRNA from 1 species